rnacentral:lncRNA from 1 species
GUACUCACUAAAGGAGAGCUUGAACCUAUGUACUUGUGUAAACCCUUCACAAUUAAUGAGAACUCCUCUAUUCCAUGGACGUAGCCAAUCUGGGUGAACCACGUACAUCUUGUGUUUGCUUUCCUAUCUCUAUCCAUUUAUAUACUUAUCCACACUAAUGACCGGAGCAAUCUAGCGAAGAUCACAAAAAGUGACCGUUUUCGCUACCUAGGAUCUAUCUUGCAAGAGAACGAAGAAUUAGAUGGAGAUCUCAACCAUAGAAUACAAGCUGGAUGGAUGAAGUGUAAGAGUGCAUCCGGCGUGUUGUGUGACCGUCGUAGGCCACUGAAGCUCAAGGGAAAAUUUUAUAGGACGGCAAUAAGGCCAGCGAUGUUGUAUGGCACAGAAUGUUGG